AGAGAGAGACAUGCGCGCAUAUCAAUAAGCGGAGGAAAAGAAACUAACAAGGAUUCCCUUAGUAACGGCGAGUGAAGCGGGAAGAGCUCAAAUUUGAAAUCUUCAAGGUUUACCUUGACGAAUUGUAGUUUAAAGAAGUGUUUUCUGCUGAAGUUUUGGUAAAAGUUCUUUGGAAUAGGACAUCAUAGAGGGUGAGAAUCCCGUAUUUGACCAUUAUUUUCAGCUUUGUGAUACACUUUCAAAGAGUCGGAUUGUUUGGGAAUGCAGUCCAAAAUGGGUGGUAAAUAUCAUCUAAAGCUAAAUAUUGGCGAGAGACCGAUAGCGAACAAGUACCGUGAGGGAAAGAUGAAAAGAACUUUGAAAAGAGAGUUAAACAGUACGUGAAAUUGUCAAAAGGGAAGCGUUUGACACCAGUGUUGUUUUCUCGAAAAUCAAUUAAAAAUGGCUCGAUUUUGUAUUGUUGAGACCUUAAAAGCUCACUGUACAUUUUUCGUGUCUUUUUUAAUGCACUUUUCGUUUAACAAGUCAACAUCAGUUUCUUUUGUUGUAAAAGGGUCAUUGGAAGGUGGCUUUCUUUUCGGAGAAAGUGUUUAUAGCCUUUGGCCUCUGCAAUCGAAGAGACUGAGGUCUGCAGCGUAGACUCUUCGGGGUUAGAUACAUUUGUGCUAAGUUAUAGCUUUUUAUAGACAACUUGUUGACUAUAAUUAGUCUUGUAGCUUACUCGCUUAUGCUAUUUUACCUACGCUUAGGAUGUUGAGUCGUAGAGCACGCAG
rnacentral:rRNA from 1 species